UGAAAGAUAUUGAUUUCUAGAUUCCCUCGUGAGGUAACGUACGUUUCACUCUGUAAACCUUGUGUCAUAUGAUACGUGAAUGCUUUUGCUCUAGCACGCUUUAACUGGUAUUCUUUAUAGAAUUGUUUUGUUUCGCAAGCCUUUAAAUUAACCACAGUAACAAUUAUCAGCGCAGGCUGGAGACUUUGCGUUAUUUGAAAUGUCUAGAGUCUAGGAUAUGUGCCGUAUUUUAAAAGUAAAGGAUAUUAUGAUUAAAACUGCAGUAUUUUAAAAGUCUAGGAUAUGAUGACAAAUACUGCAGUAUUUUAAAAGUCUAGGAUACGACUGAUUAGCCAGGUUAAUUACUUUGCUUCUUAUUAUAAUUCAAACAAGCACGCCUUUUAUAAAUUAUAUUACAAAAGACUAGAUGUGGGGGUUAACUUCAGUUCUGUGUUGGUCAUGCUAUGAACACGCGAAAAAAAAAAUGGAAAUAAAUAAUCCUAAAUCAUCAUGGCCACACUAUUAUUAGAUCUAGUUGGUUUCUCUUUUUACGGAGUUCAAUGUUUUGUAUCGUGUUCAUUCUUGUACUCCUUUCUGUCUUUCUCUUGUUGUCUCUUUGUUAUGUCUUUCCCUUCCUCUUUAUCUCUCUGUCUCUCUCUGUCUCUCUUUCUCACUCAUUCUCUUUCACUCUGUCUUUCUCAGUCUUUCUUUCUCGCCCCCGUACACACACACGCUAACCACUGCAUAAACAAUAGUAAAACCCUCUAAUAAAAACAACCGGUCCAUAAGUUGAACAAUAAAAAACAUUUGUAAAAAUAUAAACGGUUUGCGUUUGCUUAGCGAGAAAUUGAGCUAAUUUAAUUGGUUCACUAACAACAAUGUCAUCUUCCUAUCGUCAGUGAGACAUUGGAAGGAUAUACUAGAUAAUACUAAAAUUAAUAAACGACUUAAACAAAUUAUUUCUACGUACUAAAAUAUCCAAAUUAAUGUGGGCCACGUGUUAAGGUAUUACCAGAUUCAGUGCCGCAAGUAACAAGUGCAGUGGACCAACAGGGAAACAAUGAUAUCAAGUUGUCCAAGUUACUUAUCAAUCGAAGAUUUCUCAUCGUGACUUCUAUCACGUCCUCUAUAUGGUUUGUCGACGCUUUGUCUUACGAUGGACUGCUUCUCGUGUCACCAAGCCUGCAUGAAGACUUCUACCUGGGAUUUGUUUUAGCAGUGGUCAUAGAGUUUCCUGCCACGAUUUUAUUUUGUUUGCUAAUUAAUAGGUUUCUGUAGAAUCCAUGAAGUUCUGACUUGAAUACAUGUAUCGAACAAACAAGUUAUCCAAAUGGAAGAAGUAUUAAAUAGUCUACUAACUAGAGGUGAUACUAUGUGACUACCAACAGUGAUCUAUCAAUUAGAGCCUUUGAUAACUUGGUGGAAGUAACGAUCUCAAGCCCAUGAGAAGGUCUUACAAUUUUUAUAACAUAAAUUUUGCAUGUUUAAGUCUUUAUUGUUUGAUUGUUAUAUUUUCAGAAUGUGUAAGAACCAUUUUAACAAACGUUUUGAAAGCACAAUUUAGAAUAAAUCCUUCUU
rnacentral:sRNA from 1 species